CGCUUAAAUCUAUCUUCUCUUCCUCGAUCUAAUUCGAUAUCUCGAAGGCGAUUACUGACUUUUGUCUCGUCCGUGGACAUGGAAAUUUAGCCGGGUUGGCUUUAGCCUAUCGCCUUUCGGUCGGUGCCGUGUCGUUAUCUCGCGAUCCCAGCCGACCUUUUCGUCAUUCGACGUCAGCGCCUCGGAAUAAUGUCAAUAACGGAGACUGGGAAGGAGAGUGGUGGGAGGUGAUAGCCUCACCUUUCGGUUGCUUUUGUCUUUCUCUUGCCCUAGUAGACCCGAUUCCACCGGUCGCAUCCUCUUCUCUUCGCUCGUCGGCUGCGGAAGAAGUCUGAAGAAGUGGCAACUGUCAGCUGGGAUUCACGAAUAACAACUGCAAUUUGCUCUACUCCUGAAGUUUGCGGGCUGUUUCAUCUCUCCGCCUAUAUAGGUGCCUGAGAAGUUGAUGUAAAACCGGCUAGGGAUGGGUUCAAGGGCUCACAUCAGUGGUUUCAAGCGAUUCUCAUCUGCUUUGUCUUUGGCGAUUCUUGAAUGGAUAUUGAUGCUUCUAUUACUCUUUGAUGCCUGGUUUUCCUACAUGGUGACAAAAUUCUCUCGUAUAUGCAAGUUACAAACGCCUUGUAUAUUCUGCUCAAGGCUAGAUCACAUAUUUGGAAGUGAGAAACUGGACUUCUAUCUAGAUUUAAUUUGUGAAACCCACAGAUCAGAGAUCUCAUCACUGGCCUUGUGUCAUGCUCACGGGAAGCUUGCUGAUGUUCACACCAUGUGCAAGUCUUGUCUCCUCUCAUUGAAACCUGAAACUUACAGAUCUCUGGUAGGUAAUCUUGGAAGACAUUUUGAUUAUAGAGAGAACAUUCAGUAUGUUGAUGGUGAUGGCCUCUAUGUGCGUGAUGAGGAUGAUUUGGUGAAUGUCCCUUUUCUGAAGAAGGAUGAGACAAAUUGCUCUCCUGUCAAAAUAAUUUGUUCAUGUUGUGCUGAGCCUCUCCAACAUAAACUUCAUGCCAUUAGGUUGCUUGAGGAUGAAUCCAUCGAAGUUGAUGUUUCCGAAAUUGACAUUUCUUUGUCAAGUUUAACUGGAGAUGGGAUGAGAAAGACUAGAGAAAAAACUUUGGUUUCCCCAACAUCUGACCAUUUGAGGAAUCAAGGAUUAGACGAGUUCUCUCACAUUGUACACAGUGAAGUUAAAGUUACUACUGACUCUGACUCAGAAGUCCAGCAUAUAGAUGAUGGUAAAGGAAAAUCUCUGGCUCAUGGAGCUGAAAAUGCCAAGGAUGAUUUGAUGUAUCAAAAUGUAGAACCAGAGAAUGCCACAGAUAUUGGAAGUGUUUCAGAUAAUAAAACAAUAGGAAAAUUAAAUUACUCUGAUCCAGUUAGUAUUUCAGACAAUAAAGCCUUGCAAAAGUUGAUUCACUCUGCCCCAGAUAUUGACGAGCCUUCUGAAUCAGUUUCUGAGAAGCAAAAAUGUGUAGGUGAGCUCCAUGAUGUAUUAGAAAUUUCAUCUUCUGGUGCUGCUGGACAUAUUCCAAAGGAUAGCAAUUGGAACCAAAUCGAAAUCAAUGCUAAGCCCCCUCAAUCUAAAUUUGUGUCAAAAGAUCCCCAAGAAGUUCCUGUGGAGGACUCAAAUGUAAAAGUAGAUAAGUUGGAGCAAAGUGAUGCUGCAUGUGUCAAUACUACUUAUGUGGAUGAUGUGAAGGAUUGGUGUGCAAAGGACAUUGAUUUGGGGAUAAGCCAUGAUGCAAGUGACCCUGGUCAAUCUAUGAGUAAUCAUAUGGAUCUGAAUGAUGCGUAUAAGCUUGCUGUUGGUGCUAAGGGAAGCUUGCCAUCUCCUAGAUUUGCUGAUGUUAUUAUGGGAAAGGAUUCUUCUAGGGUUCAGGAAGAUCUGAAACUGCUAAUUUCUCAAAUAUCUGCAUCUCGGGGCCUUGAGUCUCCAUGGCAUGAAAUGACUCCUAGUCCUCGAGUAUAUGGACAAGAUGACGAAUCUGUUUUGCAGAACAUAACCAAGACGCUCUCUCUUGAGAGGAAUGAAUCAGGCUUAGAGUCACUAGAUGGAAGUUUUGUUAGUGAGGUGGAAGGGGAAAGUGCAUUUGAGAGACUAAAGAGGCAGGUUGAGUUGGACAGGAAGUCCAUAAACCUUCUCUACAAGGAAUUAGAAGAAGAAAGAAGUGCUUCAGCAAUUGCGGCAAAUCAAGCAAUGGCCAUGAUUACUAGGUUGCAAGAGGAGAAGGCUGCUAUGCAAAUGGAGGCUCUGCAUUACCAAAGAAUGAUGGAAGAGCAAGCUGAAUAUGACCAUGAAGCACUUCAGAAAUGCAAUGAGUUGCUUACUCAAAGAGAGAAAGAAAUGCAAGAUUUGGAAGCUGAGAUGGAAAUCUAUAGGAAAAGCUUUACAGAUAAAUUAUCCAAUGAUCAAGCAGUGGAACUGAAUGGUAAUUUCCAUGAUAAGGAGCUUGAAUCAUGUAACAAAUCUAGGGAAAAUCAUGUAAUGCAUCGAGAUUCCAGAUGGAGUAACUUUGAUAGUUUGAAGAAUCCCUUAUCAUGUUUUGAAGAUGAGGAGGCGUAUCUAUCAAAUUGUUUGGUGAAGUUGGAGAAAAAGCUUCAUCUUUUUUCCAAUCAUGGUGUUUUUGAUGAUGGUUCUAGUUUAUUAGUGAAUGAUGAUGAAAAUGGAUUUCCCGAAAACACAUGUACAGAUAUUCAAGGUGAAGAUUUUAUACAAAGAAACAGAGUGUCAGAAGGUGGUGUAGGCACAAAUGGUUGGUACUCUGACAAGAUUGCAUCUGCAGGUCCAGAGCACCUGUAUCAGAAAGAUGGUCCCCUUGAAAAUAGUCAGGUAGGAGGGAUUUUAAUGGAUGAAAAGUUAUCCAGGAAACCUUCAAGUUCCUUUCAAGGAAACCAUGAAGACAGCUUUGACAUUGACAAGUACUUGAAAGUAGUUAACAAGAGUGACUUAGUUGCUCUUGAGGAUGAAGUGUCAUGUUUAAGUCAGAGGUUGGAGGCACUUGAGUCAGAUCGUAAUUUUCUUGAACAUGCUAUCAACUCACUUAGAAAUGGUGAUGCUGGUGUUCGGUUUCUUCAACAGAUAGCUUGUGAUCUGCAUGAAUUACGGAAAAUUGGAAUCACUCGACAAGAGCAUCAUAUAGCUUGAGUCUUUACAAGUUCUAUCUGUAAUGUAUAUGUAGAAAAUAUUAUAAUUUAAGAGGUGUCUCUUCAAGAGGUUAAUGAUAAUGGAUGAUCAUUGUGAGUGAGCAUGAUACUUCCAAGAUCAAAGCAAUAUAUAUUUUAAGGAUCUGGUUGAUGAAGGUUCAUAAUUUACGUUCAGGACAGAGGUUCAUAUAGUCUGAGCACCCACAACUGUAUACUAUAUUCAGUAAUUGGAAAUGUGGCUGAUGCGUCUUCAGAGGUUGCUUCAUUUUUACCUUGUGUGUUUUACUUUUCUUUUCUUUAUAGAAUUGCUUGGUUUUGUAUUUUCUUAUCAUUAUCAUUUUUUCUAUAUUAACUUGAUUUCAUUCAGAAUUAGUAUUUUUUAUCUUUUUCUUUCUUAAAAAUGAGUGGUAAAUUUGUAAUAGGGUGAUUACUGUGUGAUAGCAAUGACCUGUGCAUUGUAAAACAUCUUCUGCAUGCUCACAUCUGCUGAGUUGUUCAAUAAUCUGGGGACUUGUAGUUUUGGCCAUCAAGAGUCUCAGCAAUGAGAGUAACAGUAUCAUUAUAUUCUUCUCUGUAAUAUAACUUAAAAAUUCUUAUUGAAAGUGCUGUUAUAAUUUCUAGUUUUUA